rnacentral:rRNA from 1 species
UGGCGGACGGGUGAGUAACACGUAGGAAAUCUGCCUCAAGGAGGGGGAUAACACCGGGAAACUGGUGCUAAUACCCCAUAUGUCAUAGAUUGAAAUAUCUAUGAUGAAAGUUCCGGCGCCUUGAGAUGAGCCUGCGUCUGAUUAGCUAGUUGGUGGGGUAAUUGCCUACCAAGGCGACGAUCAGUAGCUGGUCUGAGAGGGUGAUCAGCCACAAUGGGACUGAGACACGGCCCAUACUCCUACGGGAGGCAGCAGUAGGGAAUUUUGCGCAAUGGGCGAAAGCCUGACGCAGCAACACCGCGAGAGGGAUGAAGUUCUUUGGAGCGUAAACCUCUGUCAGUGGGGACGAAUUUUGACGGUACCCACAAAGGAAGCAUCGGCUAACUACGUGCCAGCAGCCGCGGUAAGACGUAGGAUGCGAGCGUUGUCCGGAAUCAUUGGGCGUAAAGAGUUCGUAGGCGGCAUGUCAAGUCUGGUGUUAAAGCCCGGGGCUCAACCCCGGUUUCGCACCGGAUACUGGCAAGCUAGAGUGCAGAAGAGGCAAGGGGAAUUCCCAGUGUAGCGGUGAAAUGCGUAGAUAUUGGGAGGAACACCGGUGGCGUAAGCGCCUUGCUGGGCUGUUACUGACGCUGAGGAACGAAAGCCGGGGGAGCGAAUGGGAUUAGAUACCCCAGUAGUCCCGGCCGUAAACGAUGGAUACUAGGUGUUGCGGGUAUCGACCCCUGCAGUGCCGCAGCUAACGCGAUAAGUAUCCCGCCUGGGGAGUACGCACGCAAGUGUGAAACUCAAAGGAAUUGACGGGGGCCCGCACAGGCGGUGGAACAUGUGGUUUAAUUCGAAGCAACGCGAAGAACCUUACCAGGGCUUGACA